rnacentral:lncRNA from 1 species
AGCCACACCCGUAUCUUCCAAGUGCCAAGUGAAAUGAUGGAUGACGUCAUUCAGGAGCGAAUAGAUCAAGUGAGACGGAGCGUCUCUCAUCUCAGGUGUGACUCCUCCAGUGAUCCAUGCUACAGAAAUUCUUGCUCAGAAUGCUAAGGUUGAAGGCCUCCAGAGUCGAUGAAUAGCCUGUGUCCAAUGAGUGUCCAUCUCAUGUUUGACCUGAAGGGUGACCAGACUUGAACAGAGAGACUCUAAAUUCUGAGCCCUUGGUUCCCACCAUGGCAAUGCCGAAAACUUCUUGCCGAAGUGCUAAUAAAGAGACAUCUUAUUUACCAACC